rnacentral:tRNA from 1 species
GGUAGAAUGGCCGAAAAUAAGCAUUAGACUGUAAAUCUAAAGAUAAGGUUACACACCUUUUCUACCA